rnacentral:rRNA from 1 species
AUACGUAGGGUGCAAGCGUUAAUCGGAAUUACUGGGCGUAAAGCGUGCGCAGGCGGUUUUGUAAGACAGUGGUGAAAUCCCCGGGCUCAACCUGGGAACUGCCAUUGUGACUGCAAGGCUGGAGUGCGGCAGAGGGGGAUGGAAUUCCGCGUGUAGCAGUGCAAUGCGUAGAUAUGCGGAGGAACACCGAUGGCGAAGGCAAUCCCCUGGGCCUGCACUGACGCUCAUGCACGAAAGCGUGGGGAGCAAACAGGAUUAGAUACCCUGGUAGUCCACGCCCUAAACGAUGUCAACUGGUUGUUGGGGAUUUAUUUUCUCAGUAACGAAGCUAACGCGUGAAGUUGACCGCCUGGGGAGUACGGCCGCAAGGUUAAAACUUAAAGGAAUUGACGGGG